rnacentral:rRNA from 1 species
UACGUAGGGUGCGAGCGUUGUCCGGAAUUAUUGGGCGUAAAGCGCUUGUAGGCGGUUUGUCGCGUCUGCUGUGAAAUUUCGGGGCUCAACCCCGAACUUGCAGUGGGUACUGGCAGGCUAGAGUGUGGUAGGGGAGACUGGAAUUCCUGGUGUAGCGGUGAAAUGCGCAGAUAUCGGGAGGAACACCGGUGGCGAAGGCAGGUCUCUGGGCCAUAACUGACGCUGAGAAGCGAAAGCAUGGGGAGCUAACAGG